rnacentral:rRNA from 1 species
GGAUUAGAUACCCUGGUAGUCCACGCCGUAAACGAUGAGUGCUAGUUGUCGGGGGUCUUAGACUUUCGGUGACGCAGCUAACGCAUUAAGCACUCCGCCUGGGGAGUACGGUCGCAAGAUUAAAACUCAAAGGAAUUGACGGGGGCCUGCACAAGCGGUGGAGCAUGUGGUUUAAUUCGAAGCAACGCGCAGAACCUUACCAGCCCUUGACAUCCUGGUCGCGAGGAGUGGAGACACACCUUUUCAGUUCGGCUGGACCAGUGACAGGUGCUGCAUGGCUGUCGUCAGCUCGUGCUG